rnacentral:piRNA from 1 species
UGAAGUCAGGAUAGAUAAGGAUGGGU